UGCCAGCCGCCGCGGUAAUACGAAGGGGGCUGGCGUUGUUCGGAAUUACUGGGCGUAAAGCGCACGUAGGCGGAUUGUUAAGUUAGGGGUGAAAUCCCGGGGCUCAACCCCGGAACUGCCUCUGAUACUGGCAGUCUAGAGGUCGAGAGAGGUGAGUGGAAUUCCGAGUGUAGAGGUGAAAUUCGUAGAUAUUCGGAGGAACACCAGUGGCGAAGGCGGCUCACUGGCUCGAAUCUGACGCUGAGGUGCGAAAGCGUGGGGAGCAAACAGGAUUAGAUA
rnacentral:rRNA from 1 species